GCCUCCCGCCGCGCAGGCUCGGCGUUGGCCUCCGCGGCCCGUGCGAGUGCGCCCUUCUCGGGUCCCCUAGGUCGCGGGGCAGCCGGGGCGGAAGGGGCUUGUUCAUUAUUUUGAGAGUUUGUUGUGAACGUCAUAACCUUUCGUCCUUAAAUAUUGCCGAUACUUGACCUACGCAAGAGACAAUGUCAUGUGAUUCAGCCUAAUAUCUCAGAGGAUGCAGCAUUCAAGGUUCUAUCUUGGAAGCAGAGACUGUGCCCUCACCAGAUGCUGAACCUGCUGAGCACCCUGAUCUUCCACUUCACCUUCAUCAGAACUGGUGCUAAGAAUUCUGAAUUUAUUGAGGAAAUAAAUGUCUGAUUGCAACAAAAGAAAACUUGUCUGGCUUUGGGAAGGAAGAGGCUUAGGAAAAAAAUUAAAGGCGUCUUUACUAGAAGUUCAAGACUGGGGCUGUGGCUGAGAUGUCACAUGGCAGAUAGGAUCACAAAUUUCUGUUGUAUCUGGAUGGAGAUCAGCAGGAGGAUCUAUGGGUGAGAAGAAGCACAGUUACAGAUGGAUUCUAGAGCCUGCUUGCUGACACAGGCUUGCAACUGCGGACUUUAUAAGCUUAGUUUUUAAUCUGCUAUCAGCUAGCAUAAUACCAUAAAUGCAUAAGAAACUAAGUAUUCAGUCUUACGAGAAAUGCUAUCUUGACCUGACCCUUUCUCCAAAUAAAUUGACAAAAUAUCUCAUCGUCUAGGAUGCCAGACAGAAAUACCAGUUGCAAUGUUUUGUUGCAUAAAGUUUAUCCUAAUUUAAAUUAGUGGCAUAUAAAGUCAUCAUCUUGCUUGAACAAACAUCUUAUUAAAUUGAGCAUGUCUUUUAUCCCAUGAAAUGAAAUUAAUUUUGAGAUAGUUAUUUUUCAGUUGGAAAUUUAUUGAGUUGAUAGAAAACAAGUUAUAUAGUCUUCCAAAGAAUAUGUUACAUCCAUUUGCAUUUUGUUUUUCUUCAGCAAUGUUUGGUUUUUAGAAAAUCUUACAAGUUAAAUAUACUAAUGUAGAAAUUGAAAGAAAAUAAUCAGAGAUAGAGCAAUAAAUUUGCAAAUAAAGAUUAUUCUUAAAACAAAUGUUUACUGUAGUUUUAUUUAUAUAAAAAAUCCCAAACUACCCAAGUCUUCAAAUAAUAAAGACACUAUUAAAAAA
ensembl:lncRNA LINC00882 long intergenic non-protein coding RNA 882